GUUCAGUGACAAACAGGUUGGAGAUACUCCAGAAGCAGGCCCGUGACUCUGGUCCAUACGUGUUCCCCCUUGUACCAUUAUUGAGCAGGCUAGGCGGCGGGGGAGGGGGAUUCAUCAGUGGCAGAGCAUGGUAGAAAUCCAAAUCUGAGCGGGAGGCAGGAGACUCUGGUACAAGAGGAGGCGCCAGGACGGGCGGGCCACCGGGGAAAUCCUCCGCCGGGCCGCCGGGGGAAUCCAGCGCGGGUCGCAGCGGGCACCGCCGCCCCUGUCAUCUCGCCGCCUCCUGGAGUAUGGAUCCAUCUCAGGCCAGAUUGGGAACGGGGUUGGGGCAGCAAUUAUUGUCAGGUGUUCACAUCUAAGCAGUCAUCAUGCUGAACUACAGCAAGCUCAACAAGCUGCCACGAUCGUUGAAGAGGACGAAUCAGACAGGGGGGAUGGAUAUAACGGUCCUCCAUUCAGUGUUACUUUGUUAUAUCAUGGUUUGACCAGCAGAAACGAGACAUCAUUACCUUGAUGGGUUGGGGUGGCACUCUAUCCAUGCAACUGAUCAGCAAGUUAAGCGUCUAGCACAUGGUUUGGCUUUUAGGGAUGGUGGAUGAAGUCAUACAAGCCAUUAUCAUGGGACCGAAUAAGGUUUUUAAGUUCAACGAGAGCGACGUUGAGAAGGUAUUCAGAAUGCCAGCAGUUGGAACAGAUGCGAUGGACAAAACCCUUGAUAGGAGCGAGACUGUUUUUGCAUACUUGCGAGCUCGAUUGGGGAUAGAGAAUAAGGAGAUAAGAAGUCUGAAGAGCAUACAGUCCACACUGUCACGUCACUAUAAGGGGAAGAUGUCACAAGCAGAGGUGGCUGCAUUCAAAACUACGUACAUCGUUUUCAUGAUGACACAUGUAUUUGCACCGACAGUCAAGAACGACUACUUCUACACCGACUAUUGGUCCGCACUGGUUGACCCGGAUAGCUUGGAUAAGUUCAAUUGGGGAAGAUAUAUCGUUGAAGUAUUGUGUGCUGCCGCCGGGAAGAUGAAACAAGAUAUUCGCAGGAAAACCACGGUGUCGAACAUAACAUGAUGUUUAUUCAUCCUAAGCGCCAAUUGUCCGCAAGGUAAUCAAAAAAAGCUCAAGGUUCCAUUUACAUGAAUAUAGCAUUUAAUUAUUAUUGUUAUACAUGCGUAUGUUAUACAAGGUUAAUGUUCUAUGGAUCCAGAAAAUCAUCAUAUCUACCUAUCAUGCCUGCGGGCACCUGUAUGGUUUCUACGCCAUAACUUCUGCAGGAAUUUCAGUGGCGACCAAGCGAGUCAUAAUAUUCAUGUGGACGAUGACAGUUAUCUGGCAGCAUGUUACCUUUACGACAUAUUGCAUCUCAAUGGGAACAAUGCAAGGAGGCCGCAUCAGUUCAUCGAGUCUAUCGAUGAAUGAAAGAGCAUGCAGUUUCGAGUGAACGUCAGGGUGUAACAAUAUGAAGUCUCUUGGGGGCAUUUUUUGCCUGAGACUGUUUCUGUUGGGGCCGAAGUGUUUGUAUGUUAAUGAUCUAGAUUGGCUAUGUGGACCUAUAUAUUAUGAUGUCAAACCAUGGACAAAAAUAUAAGUUGUUUGGUAUGGAUGUCAAGUUAUGAA